rnacentral:rRNA from 1 species
AGUGAACGCUGGCGGUAGGCCUAACACAUGCAAGUCGAACGGCAGCACAGUAAGAGCUUGCUCUUACGGGUGGCGAGUCGCGGACGGGUGAGGAAUACAUCGGAAUCUACUUUUUCGUGGGGGAUAACGUAGGGAAACUUACGCUAAUACCGCAUACGACCUACGGGUGAAAGCAGGGGAUCUUCGGACCUUGCGCGAUUGAAUGAGCCGAUGUCGGAUUAGCUAGUUGGCGGGGUAAAGGCCCACCAAGGCGACGAUCCGUAGCUGGUCUGAGAGGAUGAUCAGCCACACUGGAACUGGGACACGGUCCAGACUCCUACGGGAGGCAGCAGUGGGGAAUAUUGGACAAAGGGCGCAAGCCUGAUCCAGCCAUACCGCGUGGGUGAAGAAGGCCUUCGGGUUGUAAAGCCCUUUUGUUGGGAAAGAACAGCAGCAGGUUAAUACCCCGCUGUUCUGACGGUACCCAAAGAAUAAGCACCGGCUAACUUCGUG